rnacentral:rRNA from 1 species
CGAGGGAAGUACCAACCAAUACUACAUGCAAGUCGAACGAGCUUCCGAUGAAUGACGUGCUUGCACUGAUUUCAACAAUGAAGCGAGUGGCGAACUGGUGAGUAACACGUGGGAAAUCUGCCCAGAAGCAGGGGAUAACACUUGGAAACAGGUGCUAAUACCGUAUAACAACAAAAUCCGCAUGGAUUUUGUUUGAAAGGUGGCUUCGGCUAUCACUUCUGGAUGAUCCCGCGGCGUAUUAGUUAGUUGGUGAGGUAAAGGCCCACCAAGACGAUGAUACGUAGCCGACCUGAGAGGGUAAUCGGCCACAUUGGGACUGAGACACGGCCCAAACUCCUACGGGAGGCAGCAGUAGGGAAUCUUCCACAAUGGACGAAAGUCUGAUGGAGCAAUGCCGCGUGAGUGAAGAAGGGUUUCGGCUCGUAAAACUCUGUUGUUAAAGAAGAACACCUUUGAGAGUAACUGUUCAAGGGUUGACGGUAUUUAACCAGAAAGCCACGGCUAACUACGUGCCAGCAGCCGCGGUAAUACGUAGGUGGCAAGCGUUGUCCGGAUUUAUUGGGCGUAAAGCGAGCGCAGGCGGUUUUUUAAGUCUGAUGUGAAAGCCUUCGGCUUAACCGGAGAAGUGCAUCGGAAACUGGGAGACUUGAGUGCAGAAGAGGACAGUGGAACUCCAUGUGUAGCGGUGGAAUGCGUAGAUAUAUGGAAGAACACCAGUGGCGAAGGCGGCUGUCUAGUCUGUAACUGACGCUGAGGCUCG